rnacentral:lncRNA from 1 species
GAUAUAGACUGUUAAUUAAAAGACCACGUGCUAUCAAUUUAUUUCAUAAACAAAUAUAACAAAAAUCUUUAUUAAAAUUAAAUUCAAAACCAUCCUGUGCUAGCACAGACAUGAAAAUCAAAUUUCAACUAGCUACAGAAAUAAAAUAAAAGUCUUUUAAAUCUAAUCUAAAUUCCAACGAUAAUCGAAGAUGAUAAGUGCCAAUGGCUUCUGAGCAACUUUUGCUCCAUUAUCGAUCGAAGGAUUAUGUCACCUUCCCUCAACAUUCUACUUUCUAUGAGAUCCUAAUUGAGGUACAUAUAUGAGCACUCGAAUCAGAGUCCAAUACCCAACU